rnacentral:lncRNA from 1 species
AUUGGCAACAACAGUAGUAACACCAGCAACAAUUGCAACAACAAUAUUAACUAUGUUAGAAGCAACAGCACUUACAACAGAACAGACAACAAUAUUAACGUUACAACCAACACCAACAAUAGCGACAGCAACAACAGUAUUAGAAUCAACAGCAACAACACCAGUGACAGAAGGCACAACAACAGCAACAGGGGCAACAGUAUUAGAAUC